GUAGGGAAUAUUGCGCAAUGGACGAAAGUCUGACGCAGCGACGCCGCGUGAGUGAUGAAGGCCUUAGGGUCGUAAAGCUCUGUUGAAUGGGAAGAAAAAAAUGACGGUACCAUUCGAGGAAGGACCGGCUAACUUCGUGCCAGCAGCCGCGGUAAUACGAGGGGUCCUAGCGUUGUUCGGAAUCAUUGGGCGUAAAGGGUGUGUAGGUGGCCAUGUAAGUCAGGUGUGAAAGCCCCGGGCUCAACCCGGGAAGUGCACUUGAUACUGCGUGGCUUGAGUACCGAAGAGGGUAGUGGAAUUCCAGGUGUAGUGGUGAAAUACGUAGAUAUCUGGAGGAACACCGGUGGCGAAGGCGGCUACCUGGUCGAGUACUGACACUGAGACACGAAAGCAUGGGGAGCAAACAGGAUUAGAAACCCCGGUAGUCC
rnacentral:rRNA from 1 species